rnacentral:rRNA from 1 species
GUAGGUGGCAAGCGUUGUCCGGAAUUAUUGGGCGUAAAGCGCGCGCAGGCGGUUCUUUAAGUCUGAUGUGAAAGCCCACGGCUCAACCGUGGAGGGUCAUUGGAAACUGGAGAACUUGAGUACAGAAGAGGAAAGCGGAAUUCCACGUGUAGCGGUGAAAUGCGUAGAGAUGUGGAGGAACACCAGUGGCGAAGGCGGCUUCUGGUCUGUAACUGACGCUGAGGCGCGAAAGCGUGGGGAGCAAACAGGGAUUAGAUACCCUGGUAGUCCACGCCGUAAACGAUGAGUGCUAAGUGUUAGGGGGUUUCCGCCCCCUUAGUGCUGCAGCUAACGCAUUAAGCACUCCGCCUGGGGAGUACGGCCGCAAGGCUG